AUAUUUUUUCUGCACCCGCUUUUUGUAACAUCAAGUUCAACGAUGUCAGAAAAAGGGAACAACAAGGCGCCCACAGCGGGCAUACCCAAAUACAUGAAGUUUACCAUUGGUGGACUGGCUGGAAUGGGGGCUACAGUUUUUGUUCAGCCUUUGGAUUUAGUGAAGAACAGAAUGCAGCUAAGUGGUGAGGGUGGAAAAAGUCGUCAGUAUAAAUCCAGUGGGCAUGCUCUGAUUACAAUCCUGAGGAACGAGGGACUUUCUGGUAUAUACACUGGACUCUCAGCAGGACUUUUGAGACAGGCCACAUAUACAACAACAAGAAUGGGAAUUUACUCUUCAUUGUUUGAGAAAUUUAGUGUUGAUGGUAAACCACCGAGUUUUAUAAGGAAGGUCCUGAUUGGUGUGUUUGCUGGUGGAGUGGGGGCUUUCGUAGGAACUCCAGCCGAGUUGGCUCUCAUCAGAAUGACAGCAGACGGACGUCUCCCAGUUGAGCAGCAAAGAGGAUACAAAAAUGUUGUGGACGCUUUGAGGAGAGUGUGGGCUGAGGAAGGAUUCAUGGCUCUUUUCAGGGUAUAAUGAUGUAAUUUCUAUUGCACAGAAAUAAUAAAAGAAUAAUUUUUGGAAGUUUACGAUGAAAUAACUACAGUACUUUAGUCAAGAAAAGUUACAGUUGGUCACUUGUUUUCUUCUAGGGAAGUGGGCCUACAAUAGGGAGAGCUAUGGUGGUAAAUGCAUCCCAGUUAUCCUCCUACUCCCAAGUCAAACAGUUCUUCCUAGACAAGAAUGUUAUAAAGGACGGUUUACUACUGCACUUUGUAAGCAGCAUGAUCAGCGGCUUUGUAACAACUGUGUUUUCAAUGCCAGUAGAUAUUGUCAAAACUAGGAUUCAGAACAUGAAAACCAUUGAUGGAAAACCAGAGUACAAAGGAGCAACGGAUGUUUUUCUGCGAACUGUGAGGAAGGAAGGUUUUUUCAGUUUAUGGAAGGGAUUCUUGCCUUACUAUUUCAGACUGGGGCCUCACACAGUUCUGACUUUCAUAUUCAUUGAGCAGAUGAAUAAAAUGUACGCAACAGUUGUUUUGAAGGACGCAUCUGCUGGUAGAGGUUUAUAAUUGUGGCAUUGGUAGGAUUUCUAUAUAAUUAUAGAUAUUAGAAAAAAAAUGUUAACUACAUUGUAUACGUACAUUGUAAAAGGCAAAAAUUACUCAUGAAAAUAAAAAUAAUUAGGGUUGAAUUCUGUUCUCCACAGUUGAAUGACAGGGAUUGUUUAUAUUCAUUUAUUUUGUACAAAUUGAUGGACAAAUUGGAGGUUUCUCAUUUUGAGGGCAGCUUAUACAAAAGGAUAGCAUAAUCAUUGUUUUAGUUAACACUGUGGUGCUAGGCAUUAAAUAUGUUGGGUUAAUUACAUGGCCUAUGAUACUUUGUAACAUUAUUUUGAUUUAAAAAUACAUAUGAAUUUUAUUUGAUAAUAUUUUUUUUAAAAUAUAGGUAUUUUGAUGUAAUUUCGAUUAUAUGGAUGGUAUUUUGAGUUUUAAUGAUUUUGUUAUUGUUAUAUCUGUGAUAAUGUAAAUAAAAAAAGUUAUG
rnacentral:misc_RNA from 1 species